AAUCAACGCUGGCGGCGUGCCUCAGACAUGCAAGUCGAACGAUUAAGACUUCCUUCGGGAAGUGUAUAAAGUGGCGCACGGGUGAGUAACACGUAAGUAAUCCACCUUCGAGUGGGGAAUAACAUCGGGAAACCGAUGCUAAUACCGCAUAAUGCAGCGGCAUCGCAAGAUGACAGUUGUUAAAGGAGCAAUUCGCUUGAAGAGGAGCUUGCGGCAGAUUAGCUAGUUGGUAAGGUAAUGGCUUACCAAGGCUACGAUCUGUAUCCGGUCUAAGAGGACGGUCGGACACACUGACACUGAAUAACGGGUCAGACUCCUACGGGAGGCAGCAGUCGGGAAUUUUGGGCAAUGGGCGAAAGCUUGACCCAGCAACGCCGCGUGAGGGAUGAGGUAUUUCGGUAUGUGAACCUCGAAAGAAUGGGAAGAAUAAAUGACGGUACCAUUUAUAAGCUCCGGCUAACUACGUGCCAGCAGCCGCGGUAAGAC
rnacentral:rRNA from 1 species